AGACCUCAUAGAGAAGAU
rnacentral:snRNA from 1 species